rnacentral:rRNA from 1 species
CGCCUCUUGAUAAACUUAUAAGAGGUCCAGCCUGCCCAGUGACUCUGUUCAACGGCCGCGGUAUCCUAACCGUGCGAAGGUAGCGUAAUCACUUGUUCUUUAAAUGAGGACUAGUAUGAAUGGCACCACGAAGGUUAUACUGUCUCCUUUUUCUAAUCAGUGAAACUAAUCUUCCCGUGAAGAAGCGGGAAUAAUAAUAUAAGACGAGAAGACCCUAUGGAGCUUUAAACAAGUAUACACCUGCCUUUCUAUUAAAAAAUUUCAGAAAACAAAUAAUCACCCAGGCAUUUUGAUAUAGCGUUUUAGGUUGGGGUGACCGCGGAGCAAAAAACAACCUCCGCAACGAACGGGAAUACUCCCUAAACCAAGGGCCACGACCCCAAGUAUCGACAAAUCGACACCAAUUGACCCAAUACAUUUGAUCAAUGAACCAAGUUACCCUAGGGAUAACAGCGCAAUCCACUUCAAGAGCCCCUAUCGACAAGUGGGUUUACGACCUCGAUGUUGGAUCAGGGUACCCCAGUGGUGCAGCCGCUACUAACGGUUCGUUUGUUCAACGAUUAAAACCCUACGUGAUCUGAGU